UUCGCAAUGCCCGAAAGGGUGACGAAGCGACGCCGCGUGCGGGAAGAAGGCCUUCGGGUUGUAAACCGCUGUCGGGAGUUAAGAAAUGCAAGGGUGUUAACAGCGUCCUUGCUUGACUAAGGCUCCGGAGGAAGCCACGGCUAACUCUGUGCCAGCAGCCGCGGUAAUACAGAGGCGGCAAGCGUUGUUCGGAAUUAUUGGGCGUAAAGAGCACGUAGGCGGCUGUGUAAGUCGGUUGUGAAAGCCUUCCGCUCAACGGAAGAAGCGCAUCCGAUACUGCAUAGCUCGAGUGCGGGAGGGGAGAGUGGAACUUCUGGUGGAGCGGUGAAAUGCGUAGAUAUCAGAAGGAACACCGGCGGCGAAGGCGACUCUCUGGUCCGUAACUGACGCUGAGCGUGCGAAAGCUAGGGGAGCAAACGGGAUUAGAUACCCCGGUAGUCCUAGCCGUAAAC
rnacentral:rRNA from 1 species